UCCUUGGGAGUAGGGAGGAAGCAUAAUUUGUGGAGCCCAUGCAAAGCUUCCACACCACUUACACACAGCACUGCACAGGAGAUCCUUCUUCCCUAGCAUAUAAGGAGGCUGCAGACUGGCCAGGUGCAACUGCCCAGAUUCACCAACCCCUAUGGAAAGAUAUUUGUACAGUAAAUACUAAGUUCCAUGAAGCAAUAAAACAGUCUGGACUAAGUUACUGAAGUUCUUUGAAGUACUGGAGAGACCCAUAAAUAAGAGAGAGCAUUGGCCACCAUUUAGGGGAAACACUGAAUAUGUCACAGUGUUAAUGGUUUCCUGCUGACUGACAAUGUCAGAUACAACAUUUCACACAAUUUUUCUUCUCUAUGUGUGAAAUUACAUAUCCAGGAAAUCUGAAGAGAAUCAGCAGGAUCCUGAUAUUGUUUUCUUGUAUGCAA